rnacentral:tRNA from 1 species
GGAUCCUAAUUUAGACUAUUGUUUGCCGGGCUCUGCCU